rnacentral:rRNA from 1 species
GGUAAAAAAGCUCGUAGUUGGAUUUCUGUUGAGGACGACCGGUCCAUACCAUGUAUGCGCAUCUGGUUCGGCCUCGGCAUCCUCUCGAUAGACGUUUCUGCGCUUGAUUGCGUGGAGCGGAUUUCGGGACUUUUACUUUGAGGAAAUUAGAGUGUUCACGGCAGGCUUUCGCCAGAAUACAUUAGCAUGGAAUAAUACUAUAGGAUUUCGAUCUUAUUUUGUUGGUUUCUAGGGUCGAAAUAAUGAUUAAUAGGGACAAUUGGGGGCAUUCGUAUCAACGCGUCAGAGGUGGAAUUCUUGGAUUGCGUUGCGACGAACUACUGCGAAAGCAUUUGCCAAGGAUGUUUUCAUUGAUCAAGAACGAAAGUAAGGGGAUCGAAGACGAUUAGAUACCGUCGUAGUCUUUACCAUAAACUAUGCCAACUAGAGAUGGGACAUCGUUCAUUUACGACUUGUUCCGCACCUUAUGAGAUAUCAAAGUCUAUGGGUUCCGGGGGGAGUAUGGUCGCAAGACUGAAACUUAAAGGAAUUGACGGAAGGGCACCACCAGGAGUGGAGCCUGCGGCUUAAUUUGACUCAACACGGGGAAACUCACCAGGUCCAGACAUAAUAAGGAUUGACAGAUUGAUAGCUCUUUCUUGAUUUUAUGGGUGGUGGUGCAUGGCCGUUCUUAGUUCGUGGAGUGAUUUGUCUGCUUAAUUGCGUUAACGA